UACGGGGGGGGCAAGCGUUGUUCGGAAUUACUGGGCGUAAAGGGCGCGUAGGCGGUUUGCUAAGUCGAAUGUGAAAACUCUGGGCUUAACCCAGAGCCUGCAUUCGAUACUGGCAGGCUAGAGUUCUGGAGGGGAUAGCGGAAUUCCUGGUGUAGCGGUGAAAUGCGUAGAUAUCAGGAGGAACACCGGUGGCGAAGGCGGCUAUCUGGAACGGUACUGGACGCUGAGACGCGAAAGCGUGGGGAGCGAACAGG
rnacentral:rRNA from 1 species